AUGCACUGUCACCACAUAAAGCAUCAAUACCUUGUUGAGAUGAGGAAGACUUUUGUACUAGAUCUGGGAGGACUGUGGCAAAGAAAAGGUUGCAGGUUUACAAAAGUGGAUCUGAAGAAGGAAAAUCUCAUGACCAUUGGUACUGCUGGGUCUGAAGGGGCACAACUCUUCCAGAGCAGAAGUUUUUUCCUGUGAAUACAUUCGACUUAUACUGUUGAUUUUCUUGCCUUUUGUGCUCAUCCCAGAUAGCACUGCUGUUCAAGUAGGACAUAACAUAGAUUCUGUUGUAAUCAAGCAAUUAGCUGCACAAUUAAAUCUGAAGUUAGAUAAGUGGUGUGAGCUAAGCUCCAAAACUGCUUGUGAAGUUACUUCCAGGUUUAUUUGUUCCCUACUCAGUGGACUCCCACCUUCCCUUCUUCAACUCCCUUCUAAUACUUGUGGGAAUAAUAAUUAAGAACAAUAGCAAUAAAUCUCACUGUCAAGUUCCUGCAUACUGAGAUACUAAGCUACCACACUUUAACUUGGGCCUGUACCCUCACACAGCAGUGAGCUGAUUCAUCUUGCACCAGCUUAGAGAGGGGAGGGAGGAGCUCAUACCCAUCCCCACUCCCCUUUUUAUGUCUACUUUGGAAGGGAUUUCAGGGGUUGAUCUAGAUUGACAAAUUGUGUAAGAGGCAUUAGUACCUUCCCUUCCUUACCUACUGUACUACCUGCUUCCAUAGCACACAACAUAGUGGUAAUUAGAUUGUCAACCACUCUGUGCAACAGAAAACACAGCCAAAGCACUCUCAAGUUUUAAUAAAAAAAAUCCGCUCUACCGUGAACUUGUAUAUUGUUCUGCUUGGACCGAUUCUGCUAACGCCUACCCACUUGAGUAACUGUAUUCAAUCUUUGAAAUCAAAGUAUGACUGACUAGUUGCAUGCAAACUGGGUUAAGCCCUUAAAUUCUGAGCUUUUGAAGACAAAAUUGCAUCUGACAUGCUUUGCACUGCCCUUGAACUACUUCAGCAUACUAUGAAGUAAGGAAGUAAAAGUAGAAAUGGAGGCAAGGCUUUUAAGAUGUCCUUCAACUGACCUUCAGACAAAACCAACAAUGAACACUGGGAGAAAAUUUGUCAAUGAAGAGGAAUAUUGUCCCUAGUGUAAACAAAAGCUCCACAAUCCCAUUUAAGCAUUCUUAGAACAUUAAUCCGUUUAAGAUAUUAGGACAGCAAAGGACCAUUGCUGAG
rnacentral:lncRNA from 1 species